CAGCCAGGAUCGUCAGGUUUCCUGAGGUUUCCAGCUGGGCACAUUCCUGAUGGCCUCUGCGUGUGCACAUGUGUGUCCUUUUUUCUUAGAGAUUCUGCAUUUGUAACAACUUCCCAGGUGAUUUUGAUGGACGCUGACUUUCAGAGCUCAUUGCCCUAAAGACUCCUGGCCUAAGAGUGAGGAAGUCUGAGGAAUCUGGUUUCAGCUCCACUGAUAUCUAACCGCACGUACACCAGGUCCUGCAGAUGACAACCUCUGGUGGAACGGAGUGAUGCUGGAUUCAGUACUCAACACACAAGUGUCAGCUCCUGGGAAGGGCAAAAGCAGCUUCACAGCGACACCAGGGAUGGCAGAGAUGUUCUUCCUCAGCGUUCCCAUGGAGAACACUAGUGUCCUGAGAGAGAAUGCACCUGCUUUGGUGAACACUGACUGUCUCAGCUGUGGCAUGACGACAAGGUCUUUCUACAGGCAAAAGUCAAGCCUGCCUGACAUGCAAAGCACCUUGACCUCUGACCCCAGAGCUCCCCAGGGCCACAUGCCUGCCCAGAGCCAAGGACCAUCUUAUGACUCUGGCUUGGAGGAAAUGCCAACUGACUCCAGCAGCACAACCUGGAGAACGCGGCUCAGAGAAGACUUGAGAACGUGGCUCAGAGAAGACUUGCAGUGGGUGGGCCCGGCCUCUUCCAGGUGGGGGACUCCCAGGUGAGGCCACUGCUCUGCCCUGGGCCAUCACACUUUGAGAAGGGGACUGGGUGUAGGUAAUGCCCACACUUGGCCAUGAUUCUGCUUCCACAGAGGUCCCAGCUAAAUAGUCUUAAUUAACAAUGUGAUGUUACCUUUAAGGGAUGAAGGUUUAGUGAUUGAGAGAAAUGAGGAAUUCAGGAAUGUGCUUAGCACUGAGCGGUUUCUUAACACAUAUGGUUGGCAAAUCAAGGCACAACUUAAAACCACUCAAUUAAGGUAAUAAAUUAAGCAGUGAAACUAAUUUCUAAAUAUCCCAAAUUUGACACACAUUAUUCCAAAGAUCUCAGACCUCCUCCUGCCAUGGCCUUCCUUUCCUUUGAGCUGCUCAAGCCAUGUAAGUUGCCUCCCCUCUUUCUGUGAUAUCUUCUACCCAUUGGCAACAAAUCCUCUCCAAAGUGUGCAGCAUCUAGCCAUGUCUGAGCUACUGUCAAGGCUCAGCUGUGUGGCCACCACAUGACCUCCUGAC